CGACUCUUCCCCAGAUCAUCUCUCCUAUUGAUUUCCUCCACCUCCCUACCUAAUCUUCACCUCCACCUCCCUCCCCUGGAAGUUUCUCCCGCCCUACCCAAUCUUGGCGGCAGGGAUGACAUAGGGUUUCGCCAGUUCUGCCCGUCAGCCGCCACGACCAUGGGCUGAUGCUCCAUGAAGGCGUACCUGGAGGAGCAGCGCCGGGGGCCUCAGCAGGCGUCGGUGGGAGCCAGGCCGAGGGGGGCGGCGUUGGCUGGAGGAGCCCGUCAAGUGCCUGGCUGUGUCGUGCGAGUCCCGCGUCUGCUGACCGCUCCUUCCUUCCCUCUGUUUUCUCUCUCCGGUCUCCUCUCUCUCAUCCAAAAACGUGUGCAGCGGCGGCGGAGACGGCCUCGACAACAGCGAGGAUGGAGACGCUGCGACACCGUGUGAGCUCGAACUCCGAUGUUGGAAUCUUCUCAUAUGCUUUUACUUUUCUGUUCAUGUUCUUCCUGUGAAUUUUGGGGAUUUUUGUUUGGUGAAAUGGGCAUAUUGGAUGUGGCGGCUAGAUAGAUGAUUGGAGUACGGACAGUGCAUCAGGCCAGAGGAUCAAGUGGGCAUAGAGAAGAUGGAGGAGGAGCAGAUGGAUGCCGCAUAUUCUCAGCAUGAAAGCAUACAACUUCCGGAUAGAUUUGUAUCAUUUCGUCUGAGUACCGCUGUUGGGGCUAAAUGAGCUGUGGUGGAUCCUGCUCUUUGUAGCUAACAUUUCUCUGGUGAUUUCAUAGACUGACAUGGUGUUCACUGAAAUGCAAGGAAGACAUAAUUAGUGUGUUCCUCAGACCAGAUGUGAUUACUCAUACAUUUCCACCGUGGCUGUAUAAGUAAAGAAAAUUUCGGUCAGGAUGAUGAAUUAAUUGAAUUGUCACCAAAUGGAGUCUUGUGGUUCUUCAAAAUCAACCAGAUAAGAAAACAAGAUAGGCAGCAAUGGGACGUGAGAAAACAAGAGAGGCAGCGAUGGGGCGUGCAUGGGAUGUGAAUUACAAGAGGUUUAUUGUGACUUUGAUGCCUCUUACUAAAUUUGGUAGGGUCAUUCACAGGCUUAAGAUCUCAUUGGCAUUGUUCCUGCCUUCCUGGGGUAUGAUUAGGCUGUUUUGCUGAUAACACAUCCAGAUGAUAAGACUGUUUAGCUAACCAUAGACAAUCCUUUAACUGGGGUAAUGUUUGAAGAGGUAUUUACAAGCUCUUUUCUAUUUUUCCAAUUGAAAAUAUCAGUGCAAUUUAAUUUAGUGGAUUUCGCCGUUUGGUAUUGUACAUAUGACUGUACCAUCGUUUUCUCAAACAGUGUGACUGUCCUGCCCAUGGUACAUUUCAUCAAAUUUCAAGAACAUCGGGUAAUAUUUGAAGAAAUAUGAUAAAAAGCUCAGUAUUUUUCCAACUUGCUUAUUCACCUCAGAUCCUAACUUAUUCAACAUUGAAGAAGAUAGGAGCUAAGCCAUCCAUCUAUUGAGAUUUAUCUCUGACAGGAUGUGCGGAAAACCUUCUGUUAUAAUGUUUAUGUGAAAAAAGAUAAGCCUUUGGUUAUAUCUUAACUGAGUGAGGUGAAGAGGCAGUGGCUUACCUUAUUUCUACCAGAAGCUUGGAAUUUUUUUUCUCAGGUUCUGUUUUAGCCAAUUUCAGCAGGUCAUUUUAUUGGCCCAAAUUUUUGAUCUAAACUAAUCUUUCAAUCAACUUAACAAGUACAUCAAAGCAGCAUGUCAUCAGCGACUUAGAACAUGACGGACUCGACCGGCUAGAUGCAGUUAAAUGUAAUAUGAGCCCAACUGCUUUUUUACUCUAAUUCAAUCCAAAAAUCCCCUUUCUGGAAAGAAUAUAUGUGGGCUGCUGGGGCCUCUCUUUUGUACAAAUAGUCUCUAGGAAAUGGGGAAAAUAUAAAUUGGUAGACUGGGGGCUACUCCCUUUGAACUCAAUUUCUGAAUUUGUUUUCAGGAUGCGCACUUUGGUGGCUCCCAGAUUUCUUUUAAAGCGUUAAGUUGAUGAAACCAGUUCUGUUUCAUGAGCAGCCUCUCUCUCUCUCUUGGUCGGUUAUUUGACCAGUGCUGACUUCUUAUGAUUCUCCCUGAACACAUGUUUGUUGUGAUAUUUCUAAGACCGUGGUCUAUUUUUUCUGACACCUUAGAGUGUGACCUGAGAAAGUAUCCAAGAUAUUAUAUUUGCUCUAAACAGGGACGAAAUGAAAUGCACUAUUAUCAAUAUAUGUGCUUCUGCAGUUCUGUGGUCUAUUUGGAAGCUGCCUAACAAUCUCUGUUUUCAGGGAAAAAAAUGAAGAAGUUUGACCUGCAUUUGGGAUGCAGCGAUCUGCUACAUACGCUUCGGUGCCUCCCAGAUAUCCUUCAAUGUAUUGUACUUAGCAUGAAAAGAAAAUUGCAACAGGUUCUUGAGGGACCAUGCGCUCAAUUGACAUACUGCCCUUCUAUCGCCAAGAAUUGCACAACAUUCUCAUCUAUAGGAGGUUUAAAGAACUCUCAUUCGUAUUUGGCUACAUACAUUGCCAUUUCUUUUGUGGUUAGACGCUCAGACAAUUACAGGAUUUUGGACAGCGAUAUCUGGAUGAGAUUUCUGGCAACUAUGGUCAGCUACUCACGACUACAGGAUUAUGGGCACAGCUAUAUGGCUGACUUGGCUGACUUGGAGCAUGUUUGUGAGUUUACCCCUUCUAAUGUACGUGCUCAAUUUUGGAUGUAUGGGUACAAGGAGACAUAGCUCCAGCUCCUGAACAUUUUACUCUAAAAGACUUAAGCUUUCAUCGUUGUCAUACAGGGUAGCAGUGAACUGUAUGUAGUAUGGCAGUGUCUAUCGCCACUAGAACCGAUGUUGUAUACCAGUUUAAUCUUUCCUCUCUGUUCAACCUGCA